AGACCUUUAGUUUGAAACCCCGAAACCAGGUGAGCUACCCCGAGACAGCCUAUUUAAAUUUAGGGCUAACCCGUCUCUGUGGCAAAAGAGUGGGAAGAGCUCCGGGUAGAAGUGACAGACCUACCGAACCUGGUGAUAGCUGGUUGCCUGAGAAAUGGAUAGAAGUUCAGCCUCGUACACCCCAAAUCAUAAAAGUAUAUAAUAAAGACAAUUAAGGGAAAAAUACGAGAGUUAGUUAAAGGGGGUACAGCCCCUCUAACAAAGGAUACAACCUUAACAGGAGGAUAAAGAUCAUAAUACAUAAAACAUACUGUUUUAGUGGGCCUAAAAGCAGCCAUCUAAAUAGAAAGCGUUAAAGCUCGGACAGACAAAAGUUUAUUAUACUGAUAAAAAAAUCUUAUUCCCCUAACAAUAUUAGGCUAACCCAUGCCCGCAUGGAAGAAAUUAUGCUAAAAUGAGUAACAAGAAGAAUUGCUCUUCUCCGGGCACAAGUGUAGACCAGAUCGGACCAACCACUGGAAAUUAACGAACCCAGCCCAAGAGGGUAAUGUGAACAACAAAAAAACCAAGAAGAACUCACAACAAAUUAAUCGUUAACCCCACACUGGAGUGCCACCUUUAAAGGAAAGACUAAAAGAAAGGGAAGGAACUCGGCAAACACAAGCCUCGCCUGUUUACCAAAAACAUCGCCUCCUGCAACUAAACUGAGUAUAGGAGGUCCAGCCUGCCCAGUGACUACGGGUUCAACGGCCGCGGUAUUUUGACCGUGCAAAGGUAGCGCAAUCACUUGUCUUUUAAAUAGAGACCUGUAUGAAUGGCUAAACGAGGGCUUAACUGUCUCCCCCUUCAAGUCGGUGAAAUUGAUCUAUCCGUGCAGAAGCGGGUAUAAAUAUACAAGACGAGAAGACCCUUUGGAGCUUAAGGUACAAAAUUUAACCACAUUAAGCAACUCAAUAAAAAGCAAAAAAUUAGUGGGAAUGAAGUUUUACCUUCGGUUGGGGCGACCACGGAGGAAAAACGAUCCUCCGAGUGGAAUGGGCUAAACCCCUAAAACUAAGAGAAACAUCUCUAAGCCGCAGAACAUCUGACCAAAUAUGAUCCGGCUAAUAAGGCCGAUCAACGAACCAAGUUACCCUAGGGAUAACAGCGCAAUCCUCUCCCAGAGUCCAUAUCGACGAGGGGGUUUACGACCUCGAUGUUGGAUCAGGACAUCCUAAUGGUGCAGCCG
rnacentral:rRNA from 1 species